AGGAAUAUUGGUCGAUGGGCGGGAGCCUGAACCAGCCAUCCCGCGUGCAGGAAGAAUGCCCUAUGAGUUGUAAACUGCUUUUUCGCAUGAAGAACACCCCUGACGUGUCAGGGGCUGACGGUAAUGCGUGAAUAAGCACCGGCUAACUCCGUGCCAGCAGCCGCGGUAAUACGGAGGGCGCAAGCGUUAUCCGGAUUUAUUGGGUUUAAAGGGUGCGUAGGCGGACCAAUUAGUCAGUGGUGAAAGUUUGCAGCUCAACUGUAAAAUUGCCAUUGAAACUGUUGGUCUUGAGUGUAAAUGAGGUAGGCGGAAUGUGUUGUGUAGCGGUGAAAUGCUUAGAUAUAACACAGAACACCAAUUGCGAAGGCAGCUUACUGGGAUACAACUGACGCUGAGGCACGAAAGCGUGGGGAUCAAACAGGAUUAGAUACCCUGGUAGUCCACGCAGUAAACGAUGAAUACUAGCUGUAUGCGAUAUACUGUAUGUGGCAAAGCGAAAGCGUUAAGUAUUCCACCUGGGGAGUACGUUCGCAAGAUUGAAACUCAAAGGAAUUGACGGGGGCCCGCACAAGCGGAGGAGCAUGUGGUUUAAUUCGAUGAUACGCGAGGAACCUUACCUGGGCUCGAACGUGGAAUGACAGUCGCGGAAACGUGAUCUUCUUCGGACAUUCUACGAGGUGCUGCAUGGUUGUCGUCAGCUCGUGCCGUGAGGUGUCGGGUUAAGUCCCAUAACGAGCGCAACCCCUAUCUUUAGUUGCCAUCAGGUCAAGCUGGGGACUCUAAAGAAACUGCCUACGCAAGUAGUGAGGAAGGCGGGGAUGACGUCAAAUCAGCACGGCCCUUACGUCCAGGGCUACACACGUGCUACAAUGGCCGGUACAGAGGGCAGCUACUGGGUGACCAGAUGCAAAUCUCCAAAGCCGGUCUCAGUUCGGAUCGAAGUCUGAAACUCGACUUCGUGAAGUUGGAUUCGCUAGUAAUCGCGCAUCAGCCAUGGCGCGGUGAAUACUUUCCCGGGCCUUGUACACACCG
rnacentral:rRNA from 1 species